UACAGAGGUGGCAAGCGUUGUUCGGAAUUACUGGGCGUAAAGGGCGCGUAGGCGGCCUUCUAAGUCGGACGUGAAAGCCCCAGGCUUAACCUGGGAACUGCGUCCGAUACUGGGAGGCUUGGAUUCGGGAGAGGGAUGUGGAAUUCCAGGUGUAGCGGUGAAAUGCGUAGAUAUCUGGAGGAACACCGAUGGCGAAGGCAGCCCCCUGGGUCAAGAUUGACGCUCAUGCACGAAAGCGUGGGGAGCAACAGG
rnacentral:rRNA from 1 species